rnacentral:rRNA from 1 species
CCUGGCGGCACUAGCGCGGUGGUCCCACCUGACCCCAUGCCGAACUCAGAAGUGAAACGCCGUAGCGCCGAUGGUAGUCC